rnacentral:lncRNA from 1 species
GCUAUUCCUGUUUGUUAGUUUUUGUUCUAACAGUCGGGCCCCUCAGCUGCAGGUCUGUUGGAGUUUGCUGGAGGUCCAUUCCAGAUAAUGUUUGACUGAGUAUCUCCAGCAGAGACUGCAGAAAAAUAUGCCCUGCCCACAGAGGUGGAAUCGAGAGAGACAGUUGGCCUUGCUGAGCUGCCGUGGGCACCACCCAGUUUGAGCUUCCCAGCAGCUUUGUUUACACUAUGGCUGACUAGCCUAGGAGCAUAAGAUGUCACUUCUCCUCAAAAAGAAGACCACAGCUACUGGUGAAUGGACAUGGCUUGAACGGAAAACUAAGGGAAGAGAGCCGGAACCUGUUGGAGUCCUGAUGGAAAGAAGCUGGGGUGCAGAAAAGAAAAGCAGAAAGAAUCUGGCAGAGAAUAACCCCCUGAGGAACUCGAAGCCCCACAGAAAGGGUAGGUCGCAGUGUGUCUCUGCUCCCUUCACCCCUACAACCACCUGUUGACUCCUAAACUGUUAGGGUAACCCCCUGCCCUGAUAACCCUGGAUAACACUGUUGGCAGCAACUUAAGAACUUCCCAGGGACACAGAACCAGGUGGUCACCUCACACAAGCAUAACUGCACUCCCCUAAGGCCAGAAAGGAGAAGUCAGGCACCAUACUGGUAGGCCACUGCCCUGCCCAGGCAAUCUCUUCUCCUGAGUCACUGCACCACCAGAUCCCUCACAAACCUACCCCACAGCCUUCUCUGACUGUGGCAAAAUACAGGGGACCAGCAGGUCACUGGGAGGUACAGGACACCUGGAGAUCUUACCCUCAAUGGGGGUCACCCCUAAGUGAGAGGGGUGUGCAGCUCACCAAAGCUCCCCUUGGGACAAAAAAAAAAUAUGGAUGCAGUGCUAAUCAUGCCA